GAUGAAGAACGUAGCGAAAUGCGAUAAGUAGUGUGAAUUGCAGAAUUCAGUGAAUCAUCGAAUCUUUGAACGCACAUUGCGCCCCUUGGUAUUCCAUGGGGCAUGCCUGUUCGAGCGUCAUUUGUACCUUCAAGCUUUGCUUGGUGUUGGGUGUUUGUCUCGCCUCUGCGUGUAGACUCGCCUUAAAACAAUUGGCAGCCGGCGUAUUGAUUUCGGAGCGCAGUACAUCUCGCGCUUUGCACUCAUAACGACGACGUCCAAAAGUACAUUUUUACACUCUUGACCUCGGAUCAGGUAGGGAUACCCGCUGAACUUAAGCAUAUCAUAAGCGGAGGA
rnacentral:misc_RNA from 1 species